rnacentral:lncRNA from 1 species
GAUGUGACCGGGCACAUCAAUGACAAGAAGGAAUAGGUAAGGUGAUCAUGGAUCGUUUGAUGCAAACAUCUUUUAUGGCCAAACCUUCUUCCAAAAGCUUUUUCAAAGCCAAGCUUCAGGAGAACGCUACUGGGGUUGUUUGAUUUAUAUAGUGGAUCAUCUCAUAAGCUGAGAUGAAACUAUCCAGGAUAAAAAAGGUUAUGGAGAAACGC